rnacentral:rRNA from 1 species
UACGGGGGGGCAAGCGUUGUUCGGAAUUACUGGGCGUAAAGGGCUCGUAGGUGGCCAACUAAGUCAGACGUGAAAUCCCUCGGCUUAACCGGGGAACUGCGUCUGAUACUGGAUGGCUUGAGUUCGGGAGAGGGAUGCGGAAUUCCAGGUGUAGCGGUGAAAUUCGUAGAUAUCGGGAGGAACACCGGUGGCGAAGGCGGCGACCUGGGUAGAUACUGACGCUGAGGUGCGAAAGCGUGGGGAGCAAGCAGG